rnacentral:rRNA from 1 species
GUGAGGAAUAUUGGACAAUGGGCGCAAGCCUGAUCCAGCCAUGCCGCGUGCAGGAAGACGCAUCUAUGGUGUGUAAACUGCUUUUGUACGGGAAGAAACACUCCCUCGUGAGGGAGCUUGACGGUACCGUAAGAAUAAGGAUCGGCUAACUCCGUGCCAGCAGCCGCGGUAAUACGGAGGAUCCAAGCGUUAUCCGGAAUCAUUGGGUUUAAAGGGUCCGUAGGCGGUUUAAUAAGUCAGUGGUGAAAGCCCAUCGCUCAACGAUGGAACGGCCAUUGAUACUGUUAGACUUGAAUUACAAGGAAGUAACUAGAAUAUGUAGUGUAGCGGUGAAAUGCUUAGAUAUUACAUGGAAUACCAAUUGCGAAGGCAGGUUACUACUUGUGGAUUGACGCUGAUGGACGAAAGCGUGGGGAGCGAACAGGAUUAGAAACCCCAGUAGUC